UCGGCCACAUUGGGACUGAGACACGGCCCAAACUCCUACGGGAGGCAGCAGUAGGGAAUCUUCGGCAAUGGACGAAAGUCUGACCGAGCAACGCCGCGUGAGUGAAGAAGGUUUUCGGAUCGUAAAACUCUGUUGUUAGAGAAGAACAAGGAUGAGAGUAACUGUUCAUCCCUUGACGGUAUCUAACCAGAAAGCCACGGCUAACUACGUGCCAGCAGCCGCGGUAAUACGUAGGUGGCAAGCGUUGUCCGGAUUUAUUGGGCGUAAAGCGAGCGCAGGCGGUUUCUUAAGUCUGAUGUGAAAGCCCCCGGCUCAACCGGGGAGGGUCAUUGGAAACUGGGAGACUUGAGUGCAGAAGAGGAGAGUGGAAUUCCAUGUGUAGCGGUGAAAUGCGUAGAUAUAUGGAGGAACACCAGUGGCGAAGGCGGCUCUCUGGUCUGUAACUGACGCUGAGGCUCGAAAGCGUGGGGAGCAAACAGGAUUAGAUACCCUGGUAGUCCACGCCGUAAACGAUGAGUGCUAAGUGUUGGAGGGUUUCCGCCCUUCAGUGCUGCAGCUAACGCAUUAAGCACUCCGCCUGGGGAGUACGACCGCAAGGUG
rnacentral:rRNA from 1 species